rnacentral:rRNA from 1 species
UACGUAGGUGGCGAGCGUUGUCCGGAUUUACUGGGCGUAAAGAGCGCGCAGGCGGUCGAUCAAGUCGAGUGUGAAAGCCCCCGGCUCAACUGGGGAGGGUCAUUCGAUACUGAUCGACUCGAAGGCAGGAGAGGGUAGUGGAAUUCCCGGUGUAGUGGUGAAAUGCGCAGAUAUCAGGAGGAACACCGGUGGCGAAGGCGGGUCUCUGGGCCGAUACUGACGCUGAGGAGCGAAAGCGUGGGGAGCGAACAGG